AACCGCCGUGUGCGGAACCGUACGCACGGUGGUGUGAGAGGUCGGCUGCGAAACUUUUGGGCAGCCUCCUACUCGAU
rnacentral:ncRNA from 1 species